GAUCCGGCUCAGGAUGAACGCUGGCGGCGUGCUUAACACAUGCAAGUCGAGCGAAGCACUUAAGUUUGAUUCUUCGGAUGAAGACUUUUGUGACUGAGCGGCGGACGGGUGAGUAACGCGUGGGUAACCUGCCUCAUACAGGGGGAUAACAGUUAGAAAUGGCUGCUAAUACCGCAUAAGACCACAGUACUGCAUGGUACAGUGGUAAAAACUCCGGUGGUAUGAGAUGGACCCGCGU
rnacentral:rRNA from 1 species